rnacentral:lncRNA from 1 species
UCUUAGGGUAUUCAAAUCAACGAUCCACACCGUUAAAACUGAUUUAGCGUAUUUAAAGUUUUUAGAAAUAAAAUUUUAUAUUUUUUCGACAUAGUUUACUUUAUGAUCAAAUAAUUUCAAAAUUGUCAAUUUUCAAUGGCUACUAUGGCGAGUUUGGAGUUUAACAGUGUAGAAGAAUCUAAAUUUCUUCAAAUUUUGAUAGAAAAUAUUUUAAACUAUCUAAAUUAAGGUUAAUAUUCUUGAUCUUGAAUUUAAAAAUUCUAUGCUCAAAUUUUAAAGAUUCUUCAAUUUCUACCGUCCAUUUUGACAUAAUUUAUUUACUAAAUAAACGAUGUUGAAAAAAACUAAAAUUUUAUUCCUAAGAACUUCAUAUACCCUAAAUCAUAUUUAAAAGUGUGAAUCGUUAAUUUGAACACCCUAAGAUCGAAAACAAUACUUAGUACCGGACCGACCGUCGCUAGAGCAAGUGGCAAAGGGCUUGGUGGUUGGUACCCAAGACCCAAGUUCGAAUAUUAGUUGAUUCACAUUUCUAGCUAAGUUUAUUUCUAAAUGAAAUAAACGAAGCGGGUAGCGUGCUACCUAUAUCUAAAAAAACAAAAAAAACAAAAAAAAAACAAAAAAAACUAUAGUACCGGAGCUCCGGUACUAUAGAUAGUAUAGUAGCCUAAUUCUAUAUAUAUAUAUAUAUAUAUAUAUAUAUAUAUAUAUA